rnacentral:rRNA from 1 species
CAGUCGAACGAGAGAGAGGGAGCUUGCUUCCUCAAUCGAGUGGCGAACGGGCGAUUAACGCGUGAGGAACCUGCCUCAUACAGGGGGAUAACAGUUAGAAAUGACUGCUAAUACCGCAUAAGACCACGGUACCGCAUGGUACAGUGGUAAAAACUCCGGUGGUAUGAGAUGGACCCGCGUCUGAUUAGGUAGUUGGUGGGGUAACGGCCUACCAAGCCGACGAUCAGUAGCCGACCUGAGAGGGUGACCGGCCACAUUGGGACUGAGACACGGCCCAGACUCCUACGGGAGGCAGCAGUGGGGAAUAUUGCACAAUGGAGGAAACUCUGAUGCAGCGACGCCGCGUGAAGGAUGAAGUAUUUCGGUAUGUAAACUUCUAUCAGCAGGGAAGAAAAUGACGGUACCUGACCAAGAAGCCCCGGCUAACUACGUGCCAGCAGCCGCGGUAAUACGUAGGGGGCAAGCGUUAUCCGGAUUUACUGGGUGUAAAGGGAGCGUAGACGGCACGGCAAGCCAGAUGUGAAAGCCCGGGGCUCAACCCCGGGACUGCAUUUGGAACUGCUGAGCUAGAGUGUCGGAGAGGCAAGUGGAAUUCCUAGUGUAGCGGUGAAAUGCGUAGAUGUUAGGAGGAACACCAGUGGCGAAGGCGGCUUGCUGGACGAUGACUGACGUUGAGGCUCGAAAGCGUGNGGAGCAAACAGGAUUAGAUACCCUGGUAGUCCACGCCGUAAANGAUGACUGCUAGGUGU